UGUCUCAGUACAAGCGAUCUUGUACUGUGAAACUGUGACUGGCUCAUUACAACAGUUAUAGUUUAUUUGAUUGUGUGGAGCUACGUGGAUAGCCGUAGGAAUUUUAGAGCUAAUACACGCACCGUCGCGGAAGAUCUAACUAUAGAGUUUGGUGGGAUGUAUUAGAUCAAAAAUCAAUCGUUUCCUGGUUUUUUCACAGUAAGCCUGGCGCGAUGAAUCAUAAUAAGUUAACGGAAUCACAUGGCCGUGAUUUUGGCCGGCGAUAAAUCAUUCAAAUUUCUGCCCUAUCAACUUUUGAUUGUAGGGUAGUGGCCUACCAUGAAAAAAACGGGUAACGGAGAAUUUGGGUUCGAUUCAGGAGAGGGAGCGUGAGAAACGGCAUACCUCAUCCAAGGAAGGCAGCAGGCGCGCAAAUUACCCAAUCCCGACACGGGGAGGUAGUGACAAUAAAUAACAAUACCGGGCGUUCAACGUCUGGUAAUUGGAAUGAGUACAAUAUAAAUCCCUUAACGAGUAUCCAU
rnacentral:rRNA from 1 species